GGAGACCCAAGUUGACAAACGUCGGCGUAAAAUGUGGUUUAUACAGUAUUGCACUAAAGCUAAACUUCUUCAAGGCUGUUAUACGCAUUCGAAAGAAAGAGAAUCUUCAACGAAAGUGGCUUUAAACAUUAUGAACCCACGAAAGCUAGGAAACAAACUGGGAUUAGAUACCCCACUAUGCCUAGCCCUAAACUAAAGCAACCCCCUACUCAUGUUGCUUGCCAGGGAAUUACGAGCUUUAGCUUAAAACCCAAAGGACUUGGCGGUGCUUUAGACCCACCUAGAGGAGCCUGUUCUAUAACCGAUAGUCCCCGUUAAACCUCACCCUCUCUUGCCAUUCCCGCCUAUAUACCGCCGUCGUCAGCUUACCCUGUGAAGGGCUAAUAGUAAGCAAAAUUGGCACAGCCCAAAACGCCAGGUCGAGGUGUAGCGUAUGAGAGGGGAAGAAAUGGGCUACAUUCACUGCACCAGUGAAAACGAAUAAUGCUUUGAAAUAAGCACUUAAAGGAGGAUUUAGUAGUAAGAAGGGAAUAGAGUGCCCCUCUGAAACAGGCCCUGAAGCGCGCACACACCGCCCGUCACUCUCCCCAACAUAGCGGACAAGUCUUAAAUAAACAAUAAUCCAGGAUAAGGGGAGGAAAGUCGUAACAUGGUAAGUGUACCGGAAGGUGCACUUGGAAAAACC
rnacentral:rRNA from 1 species